ensembl:lncRNA
UUUACAUUUAAAUAUGAUUAAACGGGAAACAACAAAGACCUUAUCAAUGUCAUUUCAUUUAUUCAGCAUCUCACAGACACUUUGAUUUUCUUGCUCUCGUGUUUCUCAGUCUGAUUGAAGACGUCCUGACCCAGAUUUAGCCACAGGUCUCCCAUAAUGUGCUACCGACUCACACAGACCCAUCGUGUCCCUACCCUGAUGAGAGCGCCCUCGCCGGGACCACACCGUAUUCAUGAAGGGCCAAAAGCUAGGGACCUGGCAUUCAAAACGGGAAAUUGAGACGUCUUAAGAUGAUCAUUGCAGACAGAUCUGCUCGUGUGGCUUCAGACAUGCUGAAGGCAGAUCAGAUCAGAUAUGAUGACUGGACACAGACCUCACUCUACAGACUUUCAUCUGAUUUACUCACCAGCUAUCACCUUCAUCAUACAGCUAGCAAUGGCUUUAGGAUAACAGAGCCGAAAUU